AUCCGGCUGACGAGUCCUAAACAGGACGAAACGCGCGUCCUGGAU
rnacentral:hammerhead_ribozyme from 1 species